UGCAGUCGAGCGGUAGCACAGGGGAGCUUGCUCCCCGGGUGACGAGCGGCGGACGGGUGAGUAAUGUCUGGGAAACUGCCUGAUGGAGGGGGAUAACUACUGGAAACGGUAGCUAAUACCGCAUAACGUCGCAAGACCAAAGAGGGGGACCUUCGGGCCUCUUGCCAUCAGAUGUGCCCAGAUGGGAUUAGCUAGUAGGUGGGGUAAUGGCUCACCUAGGCGACGAUCCCUAGCUGGUCUGAGAGGAUGACCAGCCACACUGGAACUGAGACACGGUCCAGACUCCUACGGGAGGCAGCAGUGGGGAAUAUUGCACAAUGGGCGCAAGCCUGAUGCAGCCAUGCCGCGUGUGUGAAGAAGGCCUUCGGGUUGUAAAGCACUUUCAGCGAGGAGGAAGGUGGUGAGCUUAAUACGCUCAUCAAUUGACGUUACUCGCAGAAGAAGCACCGGCUAACUCCGUGCCAGCAGCCGCGGUAAUACGGAGGGUGCAAGCGUUAAUCGGAAUUACUGGGCGUAAAGCGCACGCAGGCGGUUUGUUAAGUCAGAUGUGAAAUCCCCGGGCUCA
rnacentral:rRNA from 1 species